rnacentral:rRNA from 1 species
GAUGAACGCUGGCGGCGUGCUUAACACAUGCAAGUCGAACGGGAUCCUGCAAGCUUGCUUGCGGGUGAGAGUGGCGAACGGGUGAGUAAUGCGUGACCAACCUGCCCCAUGCUCCGGAAUAGCUCCUGGAAACGGGUGGUAAUGCCGGAUGUUCCCGCGCCCCGCAUGGGGUGCGGGGAAAGCUUUUGCGGCGUGGGAUGGGGUCGCGUCCUAUCAGCUUGUUGGCGGGGUGAGGGCCCACCAAGGCUUCGACGGGUAGCUGGCCUGAGAGGGCGACCGGCCACAUUGGGACUGAGAUACGGCCCAGACUCCUACGGGAGGCAGCAGUGGGGAAUAUUGCACAAUGGGCGCAAGCCUGAUGCAGCGACGCCGCGUGCGGGAUGGAGGCCUUCGGGUUGUAAACCGCUUUUGUUUGGGAGCAAGCCCUUCGGGGUGAGUGUACCUAUCGAAUAAGCACUGGCUAACUACGUGCCAGCCGCCGCGGUAA